GAUGAAGAACGCAGUGAAAUGCGAUAAGUAGUGUGAAUUGCAGAAUUCAGUGAAUCAUCGAAUCUUUGAACGCACAUUGCGCCCUUUGGUAUUCCAAAGGGCAUGCCUGUUCGAACGUCAUUUGUACCCUCAAGCUUUGCUUGGUGUUGGGCGUCUUGUCUCUAGCUUUGCUGGAGACUCGCCUUAAAGUAAUUGGCAGCCGGCCUACUGGUUUCGGAGCGCAGCACAAGUCGCACUCUCUAUCAGCAAAGGUCUAGCAUCCAUUAAGCCUUUUUUUCAACUUUUGACCUCGGAUCAGGUAGGGAUACCCGCUGAACUUAAGCAUAUCAAUAAGCGGAGGA
rnacentral:misc_RNA from 1 species